UUUGUCUACGGGAAAGGAUUCGAUUUCAGUCAGUCGUGUUCGAACGAAGAUGGAGUUUAUGAUGCGUUCAUUCCUUCUUGAACGCGUUUCUACCGACUGGUUAAGAAUUGCAGUUAUCUCCAAUUCACUCUGUGUUCUGUGAUUCAUCUUACAGUAUUAUUUCUGACUUGAAUAGCGCGAAAAUAACAUCACAACAUAAAUAUUUAGAUAUGUCUUCAGUUCCUAUAAGCAAGGCCUACGUUUCGAAACGCUCUAAUCGGGUGAAAAACAACCCUAAAUGGACAUUUUUUCACCAUCAAAUAGAGGAAAACAGCACUAGCAGACUUUCUCCGCUCGAAUCACGAAAAUACAGUGAAAAUUUUGGGAGCGAUUGCAAGGUUUCAGUACUGUGGGAUGUCAGCGCCGUGCGAUUGUACGUUGAAACAAGAAAAUGAUGGGACGGAUAAUACAGCGGAUUGCCUGUACUGGAUCAGGAAUUAAUAACACACCCAGAUGUAUGUUCAUCAGACUUUGGUUGGCGCAUCAAGUCCCAGGAACUUCAACAAUUACGUGUAUUAUCACUGAGCCAGUGCAGUAUUCUCUGAACUGUGUUUCAUAACUUGUACAUAGCAAUAUAGAGAGUUAAAUGCUUUUACAUGUAUCUGAACAUAAUAGCAUAAUAUUAUAAGAAGGAUUGAAGAGUCAUGUAGUGUUUACCAUUAAGCCGAAAAAAUCUGGAAAUUUUUGUUGAAAUUCAAAUGUAUUAGUGACAAUUUAUAGAAAACUUGUUCAGAAAUUUUGGACUGCCAUGACCUCCAGAGGUACUCCUCUUGUUCUGUUUGGAAUGGCAUGUUCAAAAUUUUCUUAUUAUUUUCUCAGACAUUUCUUAUAUUAAUUUUCAAGUCGUUCAUGAAUUAAGGGAAUUGGUGCAAGCACCAUCUCUAUUUUGUUAGUUUGCUUAUUUUGGAAAAAAAAAACUUUUCAUAUUAUUCAACAUUCAUUGGUCUACUUCUGACAUUUUUUUCAAGAAAUGGUUACACAUAGCCCUCACAAUGUUCCUCUUAACACUAUCAGGUUCUAGAAAUCUUCUGGUUACGUAGUUUUUCAAAAACUAUUUAAGUAAGAGGAAAGAAAUUGGCCUUCUUGUCAUUGGGAUAUUUUUCCCGCACAGUGUAGAAUUUAUUGUCAAUAUAUAGUAAAAUGAGAAGAAGAUAGUUUAAGUUUGAUGGCUUUUACACCCAGAUCUUUAUUCAAAUGAUACAUAUUAGUUGUUUUCCAUUUGGAAAAAAAUUCCAAAAAAUUUGGUGAAGAAUCUGUGUUCCAGGGCAGCUGAUUGUUUUCCACUUGUAGUUUCCUGAAGAACCUGCCAUUUGUUUGUCUUAGGUGCAAAAUUUGGCAUGGCAAUAAGAGGCCGAAAGGCUUGAAACUAGUGCAAACAAUACAAGACAGUAAAUAAAACACUAAUUUCCAAAGUUUUGGAGCGGCCCAAUAGAAAAACAGGAUUACUUUUGAAAGGUUCUGUUCUGGUGAAGUCAUCAUCCACUUAAGACCAAACCGAAAGGUUACAAGUGACUAUUUUCUUUCCAACCUAGAAUUUCCCAAAUUUUUCUGUGAAUGGAAAACAACCAUACUGCAGUUAAAGCUGUGUAUUAAUUAAAUGUAUAUUUAUUGUUACUACAUAAUAAGUAUUUAAUGAAGAAUAAUCAUUCAGUAUUUGAUAAGGCUUCAACAGUCUAUUAGUUGAAGCACAAGUCAAUUUAACAAAUCAAAUGUGGUUUAGCAUGGUAGACCACAUUUUGAUUUGUUUUUUACCACUAUCAACGUCAAAGAAAAUUUUUCUUCAGAGCGCGAGCUUAAAAAGGCAUUGCAUGACACAUUGACGCAAGUAGCGUUGUCUGGGCUCUUAUCAACAACGGCAAAUUAACCAAUCAGAUAGCGAGAUUAGUAGCAAUUAUGGUAAAAACAAGUUUUGACAUCUUAAAAUGGUCCCUGUUGAAGAUAUGCACUAACUUGUUUUUAUAAAUUUAUCAAUUUACAAUCAGAAUAUAUUUUGAAUGAGAGUAUUUACAGUGUAAAUAAAGAUACAUGGAUUGAUAUGACUUCCAUUCAUUGAGGGAAACACAUGCAAAAUUGAUUGCGAUAUAUAUAUUUUUGAUCUUGUUUUUUAACCUGGAAAAGCUUAUUUCCUUGUGUGUCCAGCUUUGUCCUGACAUACUUGUAAUCUUUACCCAUGGGCUAUUUAAGUCUUAACAUUUCAUGCAAGUUUGUCCCAUGUAUUUUCAGUUUAAAGCUAUCCCAAAAUAAUAAGAAUGACAGUUAAAACAUCAGAGUGGAAACUUUUGCCCGGAUGCCAGAUGGACACCUGCAAAAUGUAGGUCUCUAGUCUGGCUCUUUUGUUCAUACUUGGCAUUUUGAACUUAAUGUGUUCACUGUAGCAAUCCACUGACAGGAUAGGUAACAUGUAGUAAUUUAGAUAUAUAUUGAUGUAAUUUGUAUAUGCUAGUGAAUAAAGAUUGAAUGAUUUCAUCCAAAA